AUUGAACGCUGGCGGCAGGCCUAACACAUGCAAGUCGAACGGUAACAGGAAACAGCUUGCUGUUUCGCUGACGAGUGGCGGACGGGUGAGUAAUGUCUGGGAAACUGCCUGAUGGAGGGGGAUAACUACUGGAAACGGUAGCUAAUACCGCAUAACGUCGCAAGACCAAAGAGGGGGACCUUCGGGCCUCUUGCCAUCGGAUGUGCCCAGAUGGGACUAGCUAGUAGGUGGGGUAACGGCUCACCUAGGCGACGAUCCCUAGCUGGUCUGAGAGGAUGACCAGCCACACUGGAACUGAGACACGGUCCAGACUCCUACGGGAGGCAGCAGUGGGGAAUAUUGCACAAUGGGCGCAAGCCUGAUGCAGCCAUGCCGCGUGUAUGAAGAAGGCCUUCGGGUUGUAAAGUACUUUCAGCGGGGAGGAAGGGAGUAAAGUUAAUACCUUUACUCAUUGACGUUACCCGCAGAAGAAGCACCGGCUAACUCCGUG
rnacentral:rRNA from 1 species